CCAAUACUGACACUGAGGUGCGAAAGCGUGGGGAGCAAACAGGUAUUAGAUACCCUGGUAGUCCACGCCGUAAACGAUGUCUACUAGCCGUUGGGACUCUUGAAGUCUUAGUGGCGCAGCUAACGCACUAAGUAGACCGCCUGGGGAGUACGGCCGCAAGGUUAAAACUCAAAUGAAUUGACGGGGGCCCGCACAAGCGGUGGAGCAUGUGGUUUAAUUCGACGCAACGCGAAGAACCUUACCUGGCCUUGACAUGCAGAGAACUUUCCAGAGAUGGAUUGGUGCCUUCGGGAACUCUGACACAGGUGCUGCAUGGCCGUCGUCAGCUCGUGUCGUGAGAUGUUGGGUUAAGUCCCGUAACGAGCGCAACCCCUAUCCCUAGUUGCUAGCAGUUCGGCUGAGAACUCUAGGGAGACUGCCGGUGACAAACCGGAGGAAGGUGGGGAUGACGUCAGGUCAUCAUGGCCCUUACGGCCAGGGCUACACACGUGCUACAAUGGUGCGCACAGAGGGCUGCAAACCCGCGAGGGGGAGCCAAUCUCACAAAACGCAUCGUAGUCCGGAUCGCAGUCUGCAACUCGACUGCGUGAAGUCGGAAUCGCUAGUAAUCGUGAAUCAGAAUGUCACGGUGAAU
rnacentral:rRNA from 1 species